rnacentral:rRNA from 1 species
UCGCGCGAUUCGCCUUACGGCUCAGUAACACGUGGAUAACCUACCCUCAGAUCUGGGAUAACUCCGGGAAACUGGAGAUAAUACCGGAUAAUCCGUGAACGCUGGAAUGCCUUACGGUUGAAAGCUUUAGCGUCUGAGGAUGGGUCUGCGGCCGAUUAGGUAGUUGCUGGGGUAACGUCCCAACAAGCCGAUAAUCGGUACGGGUUGUGAGAGCAAGAGCCCGGAGAUGGAUUCUGAGACACGAAUCCAGGUCCUACGGGGCGCAGCAGGCGCGAAAACUUUACACUGCGCGAAAGCGCGAUAAGGGGACCUCGAGUGCGUGCGCAAUGCGUACGCUUUUCAGAUGCCUAAAAAGCAUCUGGAAUAAGGGCCGGGCAAGACCGGUGCCAGCCGCCGCGGUAACACCGGCGGCUCAAGUGGUGGCCGCUAUUAUUGGGCUUAAAGGGUCCGUAGCCGGACCAGUUAGUCCCUUGGGAAAUCUUACGGCUUAACCGUAAGGCUGCCAAUGGAUACUGCUGGUCUUGGGACCGGGAGAGGCAAGAGGUACCUCAGGGGUAGGAGUGAAAUCCUGUAAUCCUUGAGGGACCGCCAGUGGCGAAAGGCGUCUUGCUAGAACGGGUCCGACGGUGAGGGACGAAAGCUAGGGGCACGAACCGGAUUAGAUACCCGGGUAGUCCUAGCCGUAAACGAUGCGAGCUAGGUGUCACGUGGAUUGCGAUCCAUGUGGUGCCGAAGGGAAACCGUGAGCUCGCGCUGGGAGUACGGCGCAGCUGAAACUAAAGAUGGCGGGGGGAGCAAAGCGAUCGUUUAACUGCAGACUAGUCCUUUAAUGAGGUAAUUCUGAGCCUGGCGUAUCAUGUCAUAGCUGUCCUGGUGCAGUUGUUAUCCGCUCCAAUUCACACAUACAGAUGAGCUAAGGUCAGCUGAGUACCUAUGGAGUGAUCUA